rnacentral:rRNA from 1 species
AAACCAGCACCUCAAGUGGUCAGGAUGAUUAUUGGGCCUAAAGCACCCGGAGCCUGCUUUGGCAGUUGUCGGUUAAAUCCAUACGCUCAACGUAUGGGCUGCCGGAAAUACUGCAAAGCUAGGGAGUGGGAGAGGUAGACGGUAAUCGGGAGGAAGGGGUAAACUCCUUUGAUCUCUCGAUGACCACCUGUGGCGAAGGCGGUCUACCAGAACACGUCCGACGGUGAGGGAUGAAAGCUGGGGGAGCAAACCGGAUUAGAAACCCGAGUAGUCC